rnacentral:rRNA from 1 species
UACGUAUGGAGCAAGCGUUAUCCGGAUUUAUUGGGUUUAAAGGGUGCGUAGGCGGGAUGCCAAGUCAGCGGUAAAAAUGCGGUGCUCAACGCCGUCGAGCCGUUGAAACUGGCGUUCUUGAGUGGGCGAGAAGUAUGCGGAAUGCGUGGUGUAGCGGUGAAAUGCAUAGAUAUCACGCAGAACUCCGAUUGCGAAGGCAGCAUACCGGCGCCCUACUGACGCUGAGGCACGAAAGCGUGGGUAUCGAACAGG